rnacentral:rRNA from 1 species
GACGGCGGGUGCUAGCGUUGUUCGGAAUCACUGGGCGUAAAGGGCGCGUAGGCGGCGCCGGCAGUCGGCCGUGAAAGCCCGGGGCUCAACCCCGGAGGUGCGGCCGAGACGCCGGUGCUGGAGGCCGGAAGAGGAGGGUGGAAUACCCAGUGUAGAGGUGAAAUUCGUAGAUAUUGGGUGGAACACCGGUGGCGAAAGCGGCUCUCUGGUCCGGACCUGACGCUGAGGCGCGAAUGCGUGGGGAGCACACAGG